rnacentral:tRNA from 1 species
CCCUAAGAAGCUAACCUGAGCAUUGGCCUUUUAAGCCAAAGAAGGGCACACUACGUACCCCUUAGGGC